rnacentral:sRNA from 1 species
UGAUCAAGGAGAAGUUGUGAGAGAAUUCAUGAAGGAUACAGAUUCCAUAAAUUUGUAUAAGAAUAUGAGAGAAACAUUGGGUAAGUUAAUAAAUACUGUUAAUCUUUACCUUUAUAAAUCUAUUCUGGGGUGGAAAUACAUUUUAGGAAAUGUAGUUUCUAAAUAUUUUCUAAACGUAUUGUUACUCAUCAGUAGAACUCUUUGCUCAUUAUUUGCAUUUGAAACCAUUUUUUUCUUUGUAGUUUAUCUUACUCAUCUGGAUUAUGUAGAUACAGAAAGAAUAAUGACAGAGAAGCUUCACAAUCAAGUGAAUGGUACAGAGUGGUCAUGGAAAAAUUUGAAUACAUUGUGUUGGGCAAUAGGCUCCAUUAGUGGAGCAAUGCAUGAAGAGGACGAAAAACGAUUUCUUGUUACUGUUAUAAAGGAUCUAUUAGGAUUAUGUGAACAGAAAAGAGGCAAAGAUAAUAAAGCUAUUAUUGCAUCAAAUAUCAUGUACAUAGUAGGUCAAUAUCCACGAUUUUUGAGAGCUCACUGGAAAUUUCUGAAGACUGUAGUUAACAAGCU